rnacentral:rRNA from 1 species
CUACGGGGGGCACCAGUGAGGAAUAUUGCACAAUGGGGGGAACCCUGAUGCAGCAACGCCGCGUGGAGGAUGACACUUUUCGGAGCGUAAACUCCUUUUAUAUAGGAAGAAGAUGACGGUACUAUAUGAAUAAGCGCCGGCUAACUCCGUGCCAGCAGCCGCGGUAAUACGGAGGGCGCAAGCGUUACUCGGAAUCACUGGGCGUAAAGAGCGUGUAGGCGGAUUAAAAAGUCAGAAGUGAAAUCCUAUAGCUUAACUAUAGAACUGCUUCUGAAACUCUUAAUCUAGAAUAUGGGAGAGGUAGAUGGAAUUUCUGGUGUAGGGGUAAAAUCCGUAGAGAUCAGAAGGAAUACCGAUUGCGAAGGCGAUCUACUAGAACAUUAUUGACGCUGAGACGCGAAAGCGUGGGGAGCAAACAGGAUUAGAUACCCCGGUAGUC